CAGAUGUGAAAGACCCGGGGCGUCAACCUCGGAAUAGCAUUUGAAACUGGCAAACUAGAGUACUGUAGAGGGGGGGUAGGAAUUUCAGGUGUAGCGGUGAAAUGCGUAGAGAUCUGAAGGAAUACCGGUGGCGAAGGCGGCCCCCUCGGACAGAUACUGACACUCAGAUGCGAAAGCGUGGGGAGCAAACAGGAUUAGAUACCCUGGUAG
rnacentral:rRNA from 1 species